UGCUUUUUGUGCAGACAAACAUAUAAUUGGACCCAAAGCUGAGUCUUUUUAUGUUGACUGUUUAUUUGACGUCAACAUAAGUUUAUUUCAUUGAUGAAAACUAACCAGCUAUGGCUUCUGUCCCUGAGCAACAUCGUGGGACUCGACGCUGUGGAGGUUUCUGUGGAACAACCCAGCUGUUCAGCUCCGGUUACCGCUUUGCCUGCCACUCGUGCUGGGAGGAGGAUAAACUGCCUGAGCCCCGGCCACUGGGAUGCACAUAUUAGGUUCAUUAUGGAUACUUGAUUUUGGCUUUAGGCUAGCAACCAAGGAUGCACAGUAGGACGCUGAGGACAACUUCACUGAACGCUGAGCCUCCACCCAUCCGGUGAGAUUUAUUAUGAAUUUAAUUUCCCUAAACCAAACUGCAGCCGAUGCUUCCACGAGAUUUGGCAUUGAUUGGACAGCCUGCACUCCUCCCUCUGCUCACUGAUGUAGCAUGUAUUAAGAAAAGGCCUCACCACUAAUUACACCCUCCCAGUCUAAUAGAGGCACCCUGUUAAACAAACAAUUGAUCCCCACUUAACACAUGUACCCGCGUUAGUAAAACACAAUUUGCCAAUUUGCCAAAGGCAACACAGGCAGAAAAGGGAGAACGAGAGGGAGGACGGAGAGAAAAGGGAGGCAAAGGAGGGAGCCACUGGGGGCCCCUGCCAUGUGAGGAGGAGGAGGAGGAGGGAUGAUGCUGGUGCAGAGGAGUGAAAGAGAGAGGAGACUGAUUAAGGGUGAGGAAAAGAGAGAGAGAGAAUGAUGAAGAUUGUCCACAGCCCCUGAUUCCUGGCCAGAUCUCACAGAUGCCUGAUGCAAAGUCUUUCAUCAAUGCUAAUUUGACUGCUUUAAAACUUCAAAGGACAAUAACACUUCUAAUGUCGAUUCAGUGUUAGUGUGCUGGCGUAUCAGUGCGCAUGUGAGUUUACCUUGUUCAGUGCACAGUGAUAUAUAGUCUCUCAGAAGUGAGGUUCAAACAAUAUUUAGUGGUAAAAAGAUCCUGAAUUGCUGUUUAUGAACACAGGUUUCCUAAAGUGUGUUAAUCCGUUACAUUGUUUGUGUAUUUGUGUCUGAUUUAUUCCGGGUAGAAAUAUAUUGUCC
rnacentral:lncRNA from 1 species